CCGGAUGGAGUUGCCAUGGAAACGGAGCCCAACACUGCAAAUGUCACGAGGAAACACCCCGUUUCUCGCUGAUUUCACUAAUGGUUUAAUGUCUUCGAAAAAGUCCGUUAGCAUUUCUACCGUUUUCAGACGACGUAUCGUCAGAAGGCAGUGUCCAAGAUUUCAAUAUUUCUGAAGGGAGCUGCUGACAGAGAUGUAGGAAGCGCUGAAAAGGUUAAGUAACCUAAUAUGCAUUUUUUUCACAACAUAUAUCACAAUGAAUCUGUUAUUUUAUUUAUUUAUUUUUUGCAUUUCACCUGCUCUAGCUUGUUUCCAUCUAAUAAACCUGGAACUGCAGACUAAAUAUUGUUGGCUCUAUGUCAAAUUGCU